CCUACGGGUGGCAGCAGUGGGGGAUAUUGGACAAUGGGGGAAACCCUGAUCCAGCGACGCCGCGUGAGUGAAGAAGUAUUUCGGUAUGUAAAGCUCUGUCAGCAGGGAAGCAAGAAAUGACGGUACCUGACUAAGAAGCCCCGGCUAACUACGUGCCAGCAGCCGCGGUAAUACGUAGGGGGCAAGCGUUAUCCGGAAUUACUGGGUGUAAAGGGAGCGUAGACGGUAAUGCAAGUCUGGAGUGAAAGGCGGGGGCCCAACCCCCGGACUGCUCUGGAAACUGUGUAACUUGAGUGGAGGAGAGGUAGGCGGAAUGCCUAGUGUAGCGGUGAAAUGCGUAGAUAUUAGGAGGAACACCAGUGGCGAAGGCGGCGUACUGGACUGUAACUGACGUUGAGGCUCGAAAGCGUGGGGAGCAAACAGGAUUAGAUACCCUGGUAGUC
rnacentral:rRNA from 1 species